rnacentral:tmRNA from 1 species
GGGGGUGUACUUGGUUUUGACAGGUAAUAUUGGGUUAAUAAUUGCAUGCCAAGCGUUAACUUGUAAAACUGACACAAUUAAAUUUAACUGCAAAGAAAGAAGAUGAUUAUUCUGAAGCAGAAGAAGAACUUGCAUUAGCUGCUUGAUUGUAGUUUAUGCAGGCAAGGAAGUGUGCAGAAUGUUCUGGCUCCACUUCCCUGUAAAUUUCAAGAACUUACCUUGUACAGAUACAGGAUGUAUAAGGGACACUUAACUGUAUAGGUUUGAAUGUUUGAUUCUGUUUACUAUUCAAACUAAAAACCAAACAGAAUCUAAGCAUGUAGAUGUUAUUAGACAAAUUAUCUGGACGGGAGUUCAACUCUCCCCACCUCCA